UACUGGGCGUAAAGGGCGCGUAGGCGGCCAUUUAAGUCGGGGGUGAAAGCCUGUGGCUCAACCACAGAAUUGCCUUCGAUACUGGGUGGCUUGAGUCCGGAAGAGGUUGGUGGAACUGCGAGUGUANGGGUGAAAUUCGUAGAUAUUCGCAAGAACACCGGUGGCGAAGGCGGCCAACUGGUCCGGAACUGACGCUGAGGCGCGAAAGCGUGGGGAGCAAACAGGAUUAGAUACCCUGGUAGUCAAGGGCGAAUUCGC
rnacentral:rRNA from 1 species